UACGUAGGGGGCUAGCGUUGUCCGGAAUUAUUGGGCGCAAAGAGCGUGUAGGCGGUCCGGUAAGUCAGCUGUGAAAGUCAAGGGCUCAACCCUUGAAAGCCGGUUGAUACUGUCGGGCUAGAGUCCGGAAGAGGCGAGUGGAAUUCCCGGUGUAGCGGUGAAAUGCGCAGAUAUCGGGAGGAACACCAAUGGCGAAGGCAGCUCGCUGGGACGGUACUGACGCUGAGACGCGAAAGCGUGGGGAGCAAACAGG
rnacentral:rRNA from 1 species